rnacentral:sRNA from 1 species
GCAGGGGAUCCCACAGGGGCGUCCGCCAUCUCUUCGUCUUCGCGGGCCUUGCUACCACCAACCACGUCCUCGCCAGCCGGCUCACAUGCGUUGUCUUCGUUGGCAGAGACGCGCACUGGCAUCGUCCUGCUCGACCGCUACGAUACCCGGGGGAGUAUCCUCAUUAUUGGGGGCGAUCUUGGGCAAGGCACGCGCUCUGACGACGGGCAGUGGGAGCUAUCAAUGAUUGGCACUGGCAAAAGCCGUCCGAAUAACGGCUAACUAGCUUCUAGCAAGUUCGGGUCACGAAAAUUUACCAGCAGAACGCCCCGAGACGGCUCGAACGACGAGAACUACGACGACUGGAACCCAUAUCGUGCGACUGGUUGGUCUAGGCGUUAGGAUAGGUUUGGACAACUGCGUAGGACGAUCGAGAACAGUGCAGGGGAUCGAACGAAGGGGGUGCGGAUUUAGGAGGGGAGGAGG